rnacentral:rRNA from 1 species
GAUGAACGCUAGCUAUAGGCUUAACACAUGCAAGUCGAGGGACCGGCGCGCGGGUGAGUAACGCGUAUCCAACCUGCCCAUAACUAAGGGAUAACCCAGCGAAAGUUGGACUAAUCCCUUAUGGUUAUGGUUGGGGAUGCGUCUGAUUAGCUUGUUGGCGGGGGAACGGCCCAACAAGGCAACGAUCAGUAGGGGUUGUGAGAGGAAGGUCCCCCACAUGGGAACUGAGACACGGUCCAAACUCGUAGGGGAGGCAGAAGUGAGGAAGAUUGGGCAAUGGACGCAAGUCUGAACCAGCCAAGUAGCGUGCAGGAUGAUGGCUUAUGGGUUGUAAACUUCUUUUAUAUAAGAAUAGGUAUUAUAUGAAUAAGGAUCGGCUAACUACGUGCCAGCAGCCGCGGUAAUAC